rnacentral:lncRNA from 1 species
CCCUAAAGGAUUUUGGUUCAAGAUGUCCUACUGUGUUACAGCAGAACCUCUGGUCCAAUAGUCAUACUGGGUUACAGAACCUCUGGUCCAGCAGUCCUACUGGGUUACAGCAGACCCUCAGGUCCAGCAGUCCUACUGGGUUAUAGAACCUCUGGUCCAGCAGUCCUACUGGGUUAUAGAACCUCUGAUCCAGCAGUCCUACUGUGUUAUAGAACCUCUGGUCCAGAAGUCCUACUGGGUUAUAGGACCUCUGGUCCAGCAGUCCUACUGGGUUAUAGAACCUCUGGUCCAGCAGUCCUACUGGGUUAUAGAACCUCUGGUCCAGCAGUCCUACUGGGUUAUAGGACCUCUGGUCCAGCAGUCCUACUGGGUUAUAGAACCUCUGGUCCAGCAGUCCUACUGGGUUAUAGAACCUCUGGUCCAGCAGUCCUUCUGGGUUAUAGAACCUCUGGUCCAGCAGUCCUACUGGGUUAUAGAACUUCUGGUCCAGCAGUCCUACUGGGUUAUAGGACCUCUGGUCCAGCAGUCCUACUGGGUUAUAGAACCUCUGGUCCAGCAGUCCUACUGGGUUACAGCAGAACCUCUGGUCCAGCAGUCCUACUGGGUUAUAGAACCUCUGGUCCAGCAGUCCUACUGGGUUAUAGGACCUCUGGUCCAGCAGUACUACUGGGUUAUAGAACCUCUGGUCCAGCAGUCCUACUGGGUUACAGCAGAACCUCUGGUCCAGCAGUCCUACUGGGUUAUAGAACCUCUGGUCCAGCAGUCCUACUGGGUUAUAGAACCUCUGGUCCAGCAGUCCUACUGGGUUAUAGAACCUCUGGUCCAGCAGUCCUACUGGGUUAUAGAACCUCUGGUCCAGCAGUCCUACUGGGUUAUAGAACCUCUGGUCCAGCAGUCCUACUGGGUUAUAGGACCUUUGGUCCAGCAGUCCUACUGGGUUAUAGAACCUCUGGUCCAGCAGUCCUACUGGGUUAUAGAACCUCUGGUCCAGCAGUCCUACUGGGUUAUAGAACCUCUGGUCCAGCAGUCCUUCUGGGUUAUAGAACCUCUGGUCCAGCAGUCCUACUGGGUUAUAUAACCUCUGGUCCAGCAGUCCUACUGGGUUAUAGAACCUCUGGUCCAGCAGUCCUACUGGGUUACAGCAGAACCUCUGGUCCAGCAGUCCUACUGGCUUAGAGCAGAACCCCUGGAUGAAAACCCCCUGGGGGAGUGUUACGCCUCGUUUC